AUCCGGGGUACUCUAUGCUGAGAUCUGAUAGCAAGCUGUACUUGUACAGCGAAGUGGUUGAUGCCAUGCUUCCAGGAAAAGUCUCUAAGCUUCAGUUACACAGGAAUCGUACCCGAAACCGACACAGGUGGUCAGGUCGAGUAGACCAAGGCGCUUGAGAGAACUCUGCUGAAGGAACUAGGCAAAAUGGUACCGUAACUUCGGGAGAAGGUACGCUGUUGUUGGUGAUGGAACUCGCUUCCUGAGCUGACGACAGCCGCAGAAACCAGGCCGCUGCAACUGUUUAUUAAAAACAUAGCACUCUGCAAACACGAAAGUGGACGUAUAGGGUGUGAUGCCUGCCCGGUGCUGGAAGGUUAAUUGAUGGGGUUAGCGUAAGCGAAGCUCUUGAUCGAAGCCCCAGUAAACGGCGGCCGUAACUAUAACGGUCCUAAGGUAGCGAAAUUCCUUGUCGGGUAAGUUCCGACCUGCACGAAUGGCAUAAUGAUGGCGGCGCUGUCUCCAGCAGAGGCUCAGUGAAAUCGAAAUCGCUGUGAAGAUGCAGUGUACCCGCGGCUA
rnacentral:rRNA from 1 species